UGGAGCCUAUCCUGGCACUCGCUCUGGAGACCAGGCUGGCCUUGAACUCACAGAGAUCCGCCUGCCUCUGCCUCCCAAGUGCUGGGAUUAAAGGCAUGCACCACCAACGCCCAGCCGAAGGUGAGACAUUUUAUGAGUGGUUAAUGUCUUUACAGAACAAGGCAGAGACUAGAACUAUUUCUCUCCCCUCCUCAUAUGUCAGAAUAGUAUCUGUCAGGAAAGAAGCUCUCUACAGGGACUGAGUCACCCAGCACACUGAUUUUCAGAACUUUAUGUGUCUGCAGCUUAAGUCAUCCAGGUUAUGGAAAAGUCAUUCAUUGCUUAAUGACUAAGAUCCAUUCUGAGAAAUGCAUCAUUUAGUGAUCUCUUCAUUGCAUGUACAUGAUCAAGUGUACUUGCACGCAUGAGUGGCAUAGCAUCUGUUUUGCUGGCACAGGAGGGCAUGACAGAGAAGUUGUGUCACACAUGAUCAUUUGAUGUAAUGUGUUGGCAGUGUAUGUGUCCUAGUAAGAUAUGUGUGCCCUGGCCUCUUGCUAUGCUGGAUCACAAUGGCUUCAAUGCUGUCCACCAAGCAAGAUUAUUUUCUCGUUUUUCAAAUUUUUGAAAUAUGAAGUUAACUUGCCUUAUAGAGAAAAGGCCUUUCAAACAUGUGUCUCUGUGAGAGUAGGAUUUUGUCUAGAACAGUGGUUUUCAACCUUCCUAAUGCUCCAACACUUUAAUACAGUUCCUCAUGUUGUGGUGCCCUUCAACCAUAAAAUUAUUUCAUUGCUGCUUAAUAACUGUAAGUUUGCUACUAUUGUGAAUCAUAAUGUAAACAACUGUAUUUUCCAAUGGUUGUAGGUGAUCCCAGUGAGUCACUCAACCCUCAAAGGGGUCAUGAUCCACAGGUUGAGAAUUGCUGGUCUAGAGAGAAAAUUUGCCUGAGAAGUAACUUUUCUCCUCCAUCUGCUUAUCUAGAGCCUACAAUCCUCUACCUUCACAUCAGCACUUGCUUGCACACAGCUCACUUUAUUAUAUCAUAGAUAAUGAUUCUUGGGUCUUUAAAACUACCCAGACUUAGUACUAAGUUUACCACAAAAAUUAGGUCCAGACUUUUCUUUCAGCAUUAUAAACAAGCUGGAAGAGAUAUGAUCUCAAUUAGAUCAUCACCAGUUUCUCCAUACAUUUUACAGGACCUUUUGAAUUUUCGUUUGUUCCUUUAACAGGUUUUGGAGUUUUGUUCGUGUUCUUCAAAACUGUGGGUAUGGUGUGGUAGGACAUGUCUGACUGUAUUAGGCGUGUGUUUUCUACACACAGAAGUCAUCAAGAACAAAAGGCACAAGGUUAAAUCAAGGACAAGAGUAAAUGAUACAAUCCAGAGCUGUGGUGAAAGCACCAGCAGCCUGAAGUAAGGGCAGCACUGAAUUGAGUUGGUACUAGAUGUCACCUGGGGCUUCAUGAGUAAGAAAUGGAAACUAUAAAGCCUGUUUGAACUAUGACGUUGAACUGUAUAAUUUCUCUUUCCCUCAAAGGAAAGAGUUGAGAAACAAGUCUUUGAGAGUACACACAUGGAAUCAUCCCUCUCUGCGCUUGACAAGUCCCUUAAUUCUCAGGGAAGAAGACAGAAAAUAGAUUUAGAUUUUUCUCCACUAUUAAAAU
rnacentral:lncRNA from 1 species